rnacentral:rRNA from 1 species
CCCGUCACAUCACGAAAGUGGGCUGUACUAGAAAUCGUCGAGCUAACCGCAAGGAAGCAGACGCUCAAGGUAUGACUCAUGAUUGGGGUG